rnacentral:rRNA from 1 species
CCUACGGGAGGCAGCAGUGGGGAAUAUUGGGCAAUGGAGGAAACUCUGACCCAGCAAUGCCGCGUGAAUGAAGAAGGCCCUAUGGGUCGUAAACCUCUUUUGUCAGGGAGCAAAGGCGUCCACGUGUGGACGAGAGGAGAGUACCUGAAGAAAAAGCAUCGGCUAACUCCGUGCCAGCAGCCGCGGUAAUACGGAGGAUGCGAGCGUUAUCCGGAUUUAUUGGGUUUAAAGGGUGCGUAGGCGGAGUGUCAAGUCAGCGGUAAAAUUUCGGGGCUCAACCCCGUCGUGCCGUUGAAACUGACGCCCUUGAGUGAGUGAGAAGUAAGCGGAAUGCGUGGUGUAGCGGUGAAAUGCAUAGAUAUCACGCAGAACGCCGAUUGCGAAGGCAGCUUACCGGCGCUCAACUGACGCUGAGGCACGAAAGUGCGGGUAUCGAACAGGAUUAGAUACCCGGGUAGUC